GUGCUCGAAAGAGAACCAUCACACAGGUGCUGCAUGGCUGUCGUCAGCUCGUGUCGUGAGAUGUUGGGUUAAGUCCCGCAACGAGCGCAACCCUUGUCAUUAGUUGCUACGCAAGAGCACUCUAAUGAGACUGCCGGUGACAAACCGGAGGAAGGUGGGGAUGACGUCAAGUCCUCAUGGCCCUUAUGGGUAGGGCUUCACACGUCAUACAAUGGUACAUACAGAGGGCCGCCAACCCGCGAGGGGGAGCUAAUCCCAGAAAGUGUAUCGUAGUCCGGAUUGUAGUCUGCAACUCGACUACAUGAAGUUGGAAUCGCUAGUAAUCGCGGAUCAGCAUGUCGCGGUGAAUACGUUCCCGGGUCUUGUACACACCGCCCGUCACACCAUGGGAGCGGGUUUUACCAGAAGUAGGUAGCUUAACCG
rnacentral:rRNA from 1 species